GGCAGUUGGAGAACGAGUGAGCCGGUCAGGGAGUCGGCUCGCCAGGCUAGGCUGUGAAGGGGCAAAGGCUCAAAUCCCUGGUACCUUCUUUUCUGUGUCCUCCUGCUCUGCCUGGUAAAGACUGAUUUAGCAGAUGUACCUGAAGAAGACAAGAAGAAAGGCAGUAAAAUAACAAGACAGGACAGUUUCUGAUUGGGUGAUGAAGUAAGACAUACAAAAAUCCUCUACUCAGCCCGGGAGUCAACUCAACUAACAGCUGCUUUCAUGAGUUGAGACCAUCGCCAUUGAGUCACUCUGGCUCCGCUGGCCCUCCAGAUGUGUUUGUGGGAGCCAGACUACUGUUCAUCCAUUGUGCCUGAUGAGUCUGCUUCCUACUGCGACAAGGCAAGGUGUCAUGUAUCUGCUUCUGUGGCGAGUCUCCUAGAAGUCCAGAAACAGGAGCUCAUGACUGUCAAUCCCGUCUCUCCUGCUACAAAUCUCCAUUCAAGAGCAGUGUGUCUGUCUGUGUGGGCCAUAGAGAACAAAGUGGGAAAUUGGGAGUAGAGUGAUGGGAUACCCUGAGGUCUCUGAGGCAGGUCUUAGAGGAGCCCAUUGUGGAAAGAAAAAAGAUGGUGUGAUAUAGUAUAGCCACAAAAUUACAGGUGGAAAAGUCCUAUAGGGUCCCAUCUUGUCUAGCCCACUAAAGCCAAAUUUUACACUCUUUUACUUCAGUGUAAAUCUAGAGUAAAGCCAUCAUUUUUAUUGGUGUUAUUCUAGAUUUGCAUGGUGAAACAGAACAGAAUUUGGUCCCUACACUCUAUUUGAUAGUAUAGUAUUAGGUGUCCAAAGUGAGAGGGCUUCCAUCUCUUCAUUUGGUAGACUACACUACAAUCUAAGUAAAAUCUAUGAAACUGCAACGCUUUUCUUCUUUCUACACUGCACCUUUACAUUUCUAAGAAUGCCGCCACUGGGCAGAGUCAGCAACCAGUUUGUUCUCAGAGGCAGCCUGUUCUGGAGGAGAUACAUGCACUCUGAGCUUUUCUGAAGACUUGACAUUAGUUCUGUCUUGUUUUCUUAAUCUAAAAUCAUUCAG